CCUACGGGGCGCAGCAGUGGGGAAUAUUGGGCAAUGGACGCAAGUCUGACCCAGCAACGCCGCGUGAAGGAAGAAGGCUUUCGGGUUGUAAACUUCUUUUAAGGGGGAAGAGCAGAAGACGGUACCCCUUGAAUAAGCCACGGCUAACUACGUGCCAGCAGCCGCGGUAAUACGUAGGGGGCAAGCGUUAUCCGGAUUUACUGGGUGUAAAGGGAGCGUAGACGGUUCUGCAAGCCAGAUGUGAAAGCCCGGGGCUCAACCCCGGGACUGCAUUUGGAACUGUAAGGCUAGAGUGUCGGAGAGGG
rnacentral:rRNA from 1 species